AAGUGAGAAGCAACUUCUUGCAAUCAGUUUCGACCUGAUCUUAGAUAGUAAACCUAUCCUCACUAU
rnacentral:tRNA from 1 species